GUCGUGUUAAUUUCUUCUCUAAGCCCAAAAUUCUGUGUGUUUGAGCAAAACCCAAUGUAGAUAAUCACGACGUCCAUUUCCUCGAUGAAGCCGUCUGCGAUUUAACUUCCUGUAACGCCUUAGGUUUCCAUUGAUUUGCUCUUUUAAUCCGAGCAUUAACAUUCUUCAUCCCAGUCGCCUAACUGAUCUGUAGCAUUGAAUCAUUGAAUCGAGCUCAGUCUCUUCAUACGUAAUGAGAGGAAGGUCUCCUAUAGAUUUCAGAUUUGCAUGCUUGCAUAGAUGACUCAUCAACAGAGAUAGUCGCUGAUACCGCUACCGGAGAAGAGAUCAACAGCUCAGACGAGAAGAAGAUGAUCAGAAUGUAUGAGCCUGUUUGAACUGGGUACCAUUCUACGGUGUGACAUCGAUCUGUGGAAGACGACCGGAGUGGAAGAUGUUGUCUCCACGAUACCCAGUUUUCCAAAGCUUGCUUUUGGAAAGAGUUGUGAGGUACCUUCUCUUGAAGCCAGAUUUUCGUGGAGUGAAUUCAAAGGCAGAAUGGAUUGGAACUCAGAAAUGCAGCUUGUGAAAAAUAACAAGAAGAGAUUCAAUCAACCAAGGAUUUAAUCUCUAGGCUUGGUGCUACUGCAAAUUUUGGCUCUGCUACUACUGCAGAAAAGAAACUUGAGAAGCUCUACGAACAGAAGCUCAUAGAGAAGCUAUUUCAGCCGGAAGCAGAUGAACAUUCGGUUUAGGAUGGAACCAGUGGAAGAUCAGAAGUCACGGUUAAAAAUGUUGAUUUUGGUUUCAAAGAUAAGGACUUACAAGUUACGAUCAGAGCUUCCUAUGGGAAAGUUGGGCAUGGUUAAAACGUAGUGAGAAAGAGCUUGCUCAAUAUACCCAGCAUUUUAAGAGUUUUAAAGAAGACCUUUCUGAAUAUGUUUCUUCUUUUUGUUUGAAAAGGGUUUCUAUAUUGGUUUUAGAGAUUAUUGAUCAACUUUUGGUUGUUUAAGAAAUCUUCUUAAGGAUCCGCGAUAUAUACUUUCAUUCAA